GUUACCGCUGCUAUGUACCGUGUACUUAGUGCACUUGUAGCCGCUUGCAUUGUUUACUGCGACAGUGACGUGCACAAGCUCAGCAGUGGCGAGCUUCUGUGCUUCAGUUGCAGUGAAAGUGUGGCGCGCAGCGGAGCCGAGGAUUGCACGAAUAAACGAGAAAUAGUCUGGACAAACCGCAUUAAGCCUGUUUAUAGUAGAUAUAGCUAUGUGAUGUUGACAUGCACGUUGUGACGUCAUCAGGCUCCGGUAGUCACUACGCCAAUGACGCAUUGUAUGAGGCAUUUUAUGAACGAGGAUAAUAACAAAUAUGACGACCGCAGAGCGCUUCACAUGUACACAUACGUGUGCGGUGGAGCCACGUGGAGCUGCAACCACCACCAGCUCGGUGCAGGUGAAUGCCUGUAUCAGUGUGCGUGUAGAAUGGCUCUGAGCGAGUCCGCCGGGAACCAGCGGCCCGGUGUCGGCGAGUGUCGGUGAGGUCACGGCACCGUUGCGGACCGGUCCCGGCGGUUGUUGCCCGAGGGAAGCCGCCGCUCUCGCCCCACUACUGUAUAAACACGCUACUGUCUUCACUGCUCAUAAUCAUUGUGUAUUCAUCAAAUGUAAUGUGUGUUCUAUGAAUGUUUGUUAACACUUAGCCUCUGUUGGACUAGAGCGGGCAUUCAAGAUGUGUAGAUAAAUGAUUAAGAUCUUGAAUUUCGCCAAAUUAUAUAAUCGAUUUAUUACUAUUUUAUGUUCUCGUUAAUAUGUUACGCGGUGUGCAAUGUUCCUUUGAAAGCGAACAGCGUGAGUACAGAAUAUCUCAGACAACACGAGUUUAAAUUAAGCAGUAGUAACAUUAGAGUGUUGUCGUGGUGCAGAGGACGAGACGCAUGCGCCUGUGCCGGCGUCCCGCCCCGCAGCUGUUUAAAGAAAUGCCCAGUCUAGCAUGCGCUCGCGACUGACUUCCACAACGAACGUAAAACAUUUGUGUCAUAAAGUGUAAACCGAAAUGCGUUCCGAUUUGUAGGAUGUGACAGGAUCGUGACAGCUGUGAUGCAGUUGAGGAGAAGACCAGAUUUAUAAAACUGAGACUAGGAGCUGGUGGCACAGGUGGGCAGCGGCUCCGGCGACUACUUAAGACCGGCGGCCCGAGAGAGCGUCCUCACAUCCUGUGCACGAAUAAACGGCCAUAAGCUUGUUUAUGUGGUAGCUGUAAGAAACGGUGGAGCGAGUCUGAGUUUUGAAUAAAAACUGAGUAAUGGUGAAGAUAAUCGCAAUAAAGUAAAAUGUGUUGAAGAUUACAUAAGGUUUAUGUAAUGUUGUGUGAUGAUAACAAUUAACUCCGUUGUCGCGUCAACACUUGAGACAUUACAGUGAGCUUAAAAAGCUUUAAGCCAACUUCAAAUAAAAAAUCGUUCUAUCCAAAA